CUGUCGUUUUGCUCUAAUGAAGGAAAAGCAUGUCUGAGAAUGGAGCAGCCCACGGAGCACAGGCAGGCCAGGAGAUAGCGAGAUUAUUUGAGUUAAGCCGUACCUGAAGCUAGAUUCUUUUCACUUCCCAGGCCACUACCACGUUGCCUGAUUAUUGUGGCUUUACAGUGAGUCCUGAAAUCGGGUAGGGGUCCGCUGAUCUUCUCACUGGCUCUCUCCAUCCUCUAUCCUUCCCUAACUGGGACAUCCCAAGUCUGAUCUUUCCUCAACCCCAUUUUAGUCAUCCAAAAACAUCCAAUAGUUAUGUGUUGAAAACCUACUGUUUUCCAAGUUCUGGAGAUACAUUGAUG